AAGUCGUAACAAGGUUUCCGUAGGCGAGCCUAUAAAACUACCGCUCGAUUGUAACUGUUCCAAUGUUCGCACGUAGCCAGAGGUCUCUGAAUCACUACAACUUUCCGGGCUAUGAUUUAUCAGAGAUUGCGAACUACGCGGGUUACAAGAGCAGGAUGAAGGUUCACGGGGGGGGGGUUUUAACGUUUGGAUACGUGUUAAUGAUCCUUCCGCAGGUUCGAUGUUUCUCCAAGCAGUCAGUGUCGGAAAGUGUCAUUGAUUGUGCAAGGAUAGCGCUUCUACGAUUCCUGUAGACCGUACACUCGGGCAGGAGCUUUGCCAAAGGGUCCCCAUAUGUGAAGCUCAAUGUAAUACAUUGGGUAAAAAAACCGAACAACUGUUAACAAUGGAUAUCUUGGUUCUC
rnacentral:misc_RNA from 1 species